rnacentral:rRNA from 1 species
UACGUAGGGUGCGAGCGUUAAUCGGAAUUACUGGGCGUAAAGCGUGCGUAGGCGGUUCUUUAAGUUCGUUGUGAAAGCCCCGGGCUCAACCUGGGAAUGGCAAUGGAAACUGGCGGGCUUGAGUAUGGCAGAGGGGAGUGGAAUUCCGCGUGUAGCAGUGAAAUGCGUAGAGAUGCGGAGGAACACCGAUGGCGAAGGCAGCCCCCUGGGCCAAUACUGACGCUCAGGCACGAAAGCGUGGGGAGCAAACAGG